rnacentral:rRNA from 1 species
ACGUAGGGUGCGAGCGUUAAUCGGAAUUACUGGGCGUAAAGCGUGCGCAGGCGGCUUUGCAAGACAGAUGUGAAAUCCCCGGGCUCAACCUGGGAACUGCAUUUGUGACUGCAAGGCUAGAGUACGGCAGAGGGGGAUGGAAUUCCGCGUGUAGGAGUGCACUGCGUAUAUAUGCGGAGGACAAGCAAUGGCGAAUGCAAAACAAUGAGCAUUAAAUGCCGCUCAUGCACGUAAGCGUUUGAAGAAAACAG